GCUCCCAUGUCUUGAUGUCCCACAGCCAAUGUCUCUAGUGUCUGUGUCCCAUGUCUUCAAGUGUCCCCUAUUUUCCCUGUGUCCCCAGGACUCCCUGUGUCCCCAGGUCUCCCCAUGUUCCUAGUGUACUAGUGACAUGGGACCCCUGGGAGACAAUGGGACAGACACAUGGGAAUACUUGGGGACAUAGAGAGACAUGGGGCAUUGAGACACUCUGAUACACAGGGUCAAUGGGAGACUAGGGGACACUGGGAAACAUGGGGCACUGAGACACUGAAACACAGGGACACUGACACCUGGGGUAAUCGACACAUGGGGACACCGGGAAACAUGGGUACACUUGGAGACAUGGGGACACUGGGAGCAAUCCAUCUAUACAACAGAAUCAAACCAAGUAGUUUUUUGGUGAUUUUACAGGAUUUUCUCUUAUGUUACUCCUUGUGAUUUACAUCAUGUGAUGUCACCCAUACAUAAUUAAUUAUGCAAAUUCGUAAGACCAGUAUGUUUUUUCAAGAAAGGUGGCAACCCUAACUACUUUUCACAUACUCUUGCUUAAGUAUAGAAACUUAAGAGGAAUGUAUGGUAACAAAACUUGUGUGGACUGGCUAACAAUGAAAUUAGUUAAGGUAAUGCUGACUUUGGUCUCUCUUAACACUGUGGCAUGUUCCCUUUCUUCUACACUCACUACAUUUUCUCUGUCCCAGACUAUAUACUGCUAGUAAGACAGUAAGGAGGCAAGUGGACCAGAGAGUGCUAGGGGUCACUUCUUAGAAAGCGUUGAGUGAGCACAUAAUUAGAUGCAUUUAUACCAAAUUCAGUGUGCUGUCUGCAUAGUAUGUCCUUAGUUAGCCAACUUGCAAGAUUGUCAGGCAGCCUGACAUGCAUUCAUGCCAGGCUGGCCUUCCAAUUCUUUGGGCAGACAUGCCCUCUUUUUUUGGGCAUGUUCGCCUCUUUUGGCAGGUUACGUGAUGUGUGUCAGUGACACACCCAUUUACCAUGCCCAUUGACUUCCUGCUUGACUGGACACUGCUGUUAGGGGUUAUGGAUUUACUUGAAAGAUUAAAACAUAAAUUACGGAGAGAUAAGCAUAGGGUAUGUGUUUUCUUAUAGAUGCUGUUUUCUUUCCCUCCAGCACCAUCUCCAUCAGAUACAUGACUCUUGGGAGUGUUGUAGUGUUUUUGGUCGAUAAGAUUCUGUAAUUAGGCCCAUCAUAAUUGUCAGCACCAGGCCCACUGGGCUGUUAAUCUGGCCUUGGUAGCAGGCUAGGCAUGCACAUACAGAGUAUAUGGAUUUACUUGCUGUGACCCUAGGGGUAGCAAGAUUAUGCCAUCACCCUAUUUCCUGCAGUUACCCGAUGGUGUAGCAGGCUAAACAUGCAUAUACAGAGCAUAUGAAUUGCAAGGAUUAAUAUGAAAGUGACCAACAUUCCAUCGCUGAAAGAGUUAAUGUGAGACUGACUAGCAUUCCAUAAAUGAAAGGGUUAAAGUACAAUCCUGUACUUUCCCAUGGAUUUACGAUUUACUUGCUGUGACCAUAGGGGUAGCAAGAUUAUACCAUCAGCCUAUUUCCUGCAGUGACCAAGAGUAACAGGCUGUGCAUGCACAUUCAGAGCAUAUAUAUGGAUAUAACCCCUUCUACCCUUCAUCAAUUUCAUCUUAAUAGUAAGAGAUUCCUG